CGGUAUUUUGACCGUGCUAAGGUAGCAUAAUCAAUUGUUUUUUAAUUGAAAACUAGUAUGAACGGUUUAAUUUACUUAAUUAGUUUGUAAUUUUUAAUAGUAAGUUAAAUAUAAAGUAAGAAUUCUUUAAUAAAUUAGGGGACGAUAAGACCCUAAAAGCUUUAUGAUUGGCAUUUAAUUAGUGAUAGCGGUGUUAUUAAUUCACUGGGGCAGUGAGUUUAGGUAUAUUUAAGUAUAAUUAAAAGCUCCUUUAAAUAAAGAUUUCAUGUAUAAGUUACUUUAGGGAUAACAGUGCAAUAUAUUUGGGGAGACCAUAUCUAUAAAUAUGAUUGCAACCUCGAUGU
rnacentral:rRNA from 1 species